ensembl:lncRNA
AUCUUCCCGACCCAGGGACUGACGCGUGUCUCUUGUGUCUCCUGAACUGGCAGAAAGCAGCUUGGGGGAGAAUGGACGAGAGCUCUUCUACCUGACUCAGGUGAGCGACCUUCAGUGUGAGAAAUCCGAGGAACAAGCCUUGAUUUCAGGGGUCAAAGCAGACCCAAAAUUCUUCAGAAAUGCCAGGAAGAGAAGCUGUGGGGCCCACUGCCCACUUCAUGGCAGGCUGGUCAAGCUGCUGCUGACGGCCGUGGAAGUGACAUCAGAGAGAAGGGCUGACUCACAUCCUCGAGACUCCAGCAGGAGAUUACAUGGAGCCGGUGACCCCGGGGUGUCUGUGCAACACCCAGCAGCUGGGCCCUCGGUGGGUCAGGUUCUGGGAAGAGGGGACCGACCUACUGUCCUGGGCUGGCUGCCCAUCAGACGAGAGGAGCCCCUGGUUUCUUCACCAGACACUGUCCCCUGAUGACCAGAGGAUGGUUUUUCUAAGAAGAAGAAGACAGGAGAGCAUCCCACUGUGCCGUGAAUGAGGGACGUUCCCGUGGCACAAACAGGACACACGGAGCACAUGGGGUGCCUGCCCAGUUCCUGCUGAUCCCCGGCCUCACACUUACUUAGAUUUCUCCAGAGUGAAACAUUUC